GCCAGGACCAAGUCGUCUGUGUUCUUGAAGCUGCAAAGAAGUGCUUCUCAAGCAAGCGAUGCCAAGGUGGGAGAUGCUCUGUUUUCAGCUCUGGGUUUAUGUUGGGAGUAAGGAAGUCUUUCCACUCCAGAGCGUGACCGUGGGGGCAGCUGACUGAGUGGUCCUGCCCACAGCCCAGGCACAGCUCAACCCAGCUGAGAAGCAAAUUCCCUUCCUGAGACUGGCUCGAAAAGUAGAACUUGAGUCAUGUUUAAGAGGAUUUACAGCUAUCACAGGUAGUUAAGAGACUGUUUCUAUCCAGGGAAAAUUGGAGGAGUAUCUAGUUGGCUGGAUCUAUCGGUUUAAAUAGAAAUUCACCUCUUUUUUUGAGUGUUAACUCCAACUUCAAUAAUGAACACAAGGAGAAAGGACCAAACCCAGUAGUAUAAGCAUCACUUAUGUUUGUCAUCCCAAACAAGUAAAUGUAACUUGAUAGGUCUCUAAUUGACACUGUGGGGAAAGACAUAAUAAUGAAAGUUUCUGAAAAGCAAGAGACUGUAAGCCAGCAUCUUCCAUAGCUUCCUCAUCCAGAGUAUGUGAAGGGCCAGAUCCUAGCUAGAAUACUACUCUAAGGGUUUUUUUAGGUGGGUUUUUUGAAGUUUUUAGAGAAUUUGUUUAUUUGCAAACUCAGAAAUCCCUUUCCCCUCUACUAGUAAGUGCAGAAAAUGUAAUCCCAAAUUUCUCCAGCUCAGGGCAGUUUGCCUACAAUGUUGGAAGGGAACUCUCCUUACCUUAGGUUUUCAAGGAAAUCCUGAUUUUUCUAGAUUUCCAUGUGGAACAAAUCUAGCUUUAGUUCAUAAAAGUAUUUUGCAAGUAAAGAGAUCCGUAUCCCUUAAUUUAAAAAAAAAUUGUGAUUUAACAUAUUACUAACCAAAAUCUUUAAACUUAAGUUUUCUUCCUUCCUCCCUUUCUCCCUCCCUCCAUCCUUCCUUCCUCCCUCCCUCCCCCACUUCCUUCCCCCCUACCUUGCAAACCUUCCAUGGAUUGAAGCCAGGGGCACUUAACCACUAAGCCACAUUCCCAACCUUUUUAUUUUUUAUUUUAAGAUGGGUCUCACUAAGUUGCUGAGGCUCACUCUGAACUUGCAUUCCUCCUGUCUCAGUGUCUCAGGCCACUGGGAUUACAGGCAUGAGCAACUGCACCCAAUUGAAUUGUACAUUUUUAAAUCACGUAUAUGUAAUUGUACAUUUUUAAAUCACAUAUAUGUUGGAAUGUAGAAAAAUUAACAUACUGUUGCAGUUCCUUGUGAAAUAGCUGGAAACUUGGAACCAAUCUCUGGAUAACUCUGUCCUAUGAGAAUAAACAGUGCAGAAGUUUGAUGUGUGGGUAAUAGGGGAAUGUGUGCACGGGUGUCCUCAUGUGGAAUUGGUGUCCAAGUGCAUCAGUGAUCAUUUUGAAUACUGGUAUUUGAUCUGUGUUGUAAAGGCAAUCAAAAUCAUAAGAAAGUUGUUGUGAUAUAAAAGUACUGAUGCUUGAAGUUGGGUUGGCACCAGAGAAAGAUAUUAGUUGAUCUACUUUGAAAUGAGACCUCCUUUCCCACCUUUUCCUAUUUUCUAGUUUGUUAAGCCCAAAGAAUAAAUUUACCCAAAAAGGUCCCUUAGUCAAAAUUUAAAAAGUUUAUUAUCCAUUGACUCAAUUACAUAAAGCCUGUUCUUCUUGAUUUAUAUAAUAUUUUAUUUAUGCCAUAUAGAAUGGGGAAUAUUAUUCUCUGAUUAUUUUAUGUGGCCAUGAGAAGGUGAAUUAGGAAUAUUCUAUGAAUGGAACAAAUUGGGGCUGCUCUUUGUGUUUGGAGUUAUAUUGAUUUUGGCCACAAGGUGAUGCUCUAAUCCAACAGCAGAGUUCAGGAUGAACUGGUGCCUUGUUCGGGGAAACACUAAAACAAGAUAGCAUACAUCUGCAUAUGGCACAGGAGUACAGUGCACCAUAACUUUUUCAGGCCCCUAGAGCUCUACUCCUCUAUAUGAAUAUGCCUACGGGAGUUAGACCACCUUCCUCCUCUCCUCAGGAGGCUGUAAGUUAGGAAUUCACUACAUGAACAUUCAUUUCUGAUGCCAUGAUAUGGAUGUUUGGACUCUUUCUUCCAAGGUAUUCUGAGAAAAGGGGAAAUUGCAGGGCUGCUAAAGAUAACAUUUUUAAUUUAAGACUUUAAAAAAAUUUUUUGGCCCCAUAUUGCUAUUCCUUUCUCCCUAUUUUCUUUUUAUGAAGAGUAAGUGCGCUACUAGGGGAUCCUAGAGUCCACCUUGACACUUCUUAAAACCAGAUGUAUACAGACAUUCUUGCCACCAAAAGGCCCUCUCAUAACGUUCCCCACAUGAGGAAUGCCCACAUGAGGUUGGAUAGCUGUCGGAAUGAUGCCCCAGGUCUUUAUUCUUAAGCUUUUUUAUUUCCCUCAGUUGAUCCCUGUAUCAUCUCUCCAGAACUCAAAAGGACCAUCAGCCAUUGUCCUCUAAGACCUAGAGCUGUGGCUCUUGACUUCAGUUGUGCAUCAGAGCACUUGAAAUUCAUGUUUCUCUCUGUAGAAGACCUAGAGUAACUGCUUGAUUAAAUCCUAUCUUGCAAAUUAAAACUGAUUUUUCCAGGUGGAAAUGCAUGCAAUUACACUAUAAUCACAAGUAUAUGUGCUGGAAAAACCGUAGAACUAGUAGUGUCUGUGAUUCCUACUAAUAAAC
rnacentral:lncRNA from 1 species